GAUGAACGCUAGCGGCAGGCUUAACACAUGCAAGUCGAGGGGUAUAGUUCUUCGGAAUUAGAGACCGGCGCACGGGUGCGUAACGCGUAUGCAAUCUACCUUUCACAGAGGGAUAGCCCCAGAGAAAUUUGGAUUAAUACCUCAUAGUAUAGCAGUUUCGCAUGAAACCACUAUUAAAGUCACAACGGUGAAAGAUGAGCAUGCGUCCAUUAGCUAGUUGGUAAGGUAACGGCUUACCAAGGCAACGAUGGGUAGGGUCCUGAGAGGGAGAUCCCCCACACUGGUACUGAGACACGGACCAGACUCCUACGGGAGGCAGCAGUGAGGAAUAUUGGUCAAUGGACGCAAGUCUGAACCAGCCAUGCCGUCGUAGGGAGGAUGAAGGUCCUC
rnacentral:rRNA from 1 species